rnacentral:rRNA from 1 species
GACGAACGCUGGCGGCGUGCUUAACACAUGCAAGUCGAACGGAAAGGCCCUGCUUUUGUGGGGUGCUCGAGUGGCGAACGGGUGAGUAACAAGUGAGUAACCUGCCCUUGACUUUGGGAUAACUUCAGGAAACUGGGGCUAAUACCAGAUAGGAGCUCCUGCUGCAUGGUGGGGGUUGGAAAGUUUCGGCGGUUGGGGAUGGACUCGCGGCUUAUCAGCUUGUUGGGGGGGUAGUGGUUUACCAAGGCUUUGCCGGGUAGCCGGCCUGAGAGGGUGACCGGCCACAAUGGUACUGAGAGACGGCCCAGUCGCCUACGGUGGGCAGCAGUGGGGAAUAUUGCACAACGGGCGGAAGCCUGAGGCAGCGACGCCGCGUGCGGGAUGACGGCCUUCGGGUGGGAAACCGCGUUCGCCUGUUACGAAGCGUGAGUGACGGUAAUGGGUAAAGAAGCACCGGCUAACUACGUG